rnacentral:rRNA from 1 species
GACGAACGCUGGCGGCGCGCCUAACACAUGCAAGUCGAACGGAGUCAAGAGGAGCUUGCUUUUCUUGACUUAGUGGCGAACGGGUGAGUAACGCGUGAGUAACCUGCCCUGGAGUGGGGGACAACAGUUGGAAACGACUGCUAAUACCGCAUAAGCCCACGGAUCCGCAUGGAUCUGCGGGAAAAGGAUUUAUUCGCUUCAGGAUGGACUCGCGUCCAAUUAGCUAGUUGGUGAGGUAACGGCCCACCAAGGCGACGAUUGGUAGCCGGACUGAGAGGUUGAACGGCCACAUUGGGACUGAGACACGGCCCAGACUCCUACGGGAGGCAGCAGUGGGGGAUAGUGCACAAUGGGGGAAACCCUGAUGCAGCGACGCCGCGUGGAGGAAGAAGGUUUUCGGAUUGUAAACUCCUGUCGUGAGGGACGAUAAUGACGGUACCUAACAAGAAAGCACCGGCUAACUACGUG